rnacentral:rRNA from 1 species
UACGAAGGGGGCUAGCGUUGUUCGGAAUUACUGGGCGUAAAGCGUGCGCAGGCGGCUUCUCAAGUCAGGGGUGAAAGCCCAGAGCUCAACUCUGGAAUUGCCUUUGAGACUGAGUGGCUUGAGUACGAGAGAGGUGAGUGGAAUUCCACGUGUAGCGGUGAAAUGCGUAGAGAUGUGGAGGAACAACAGUGGCGAAGGCGACUCUUUGGCCUGUAACUGACGCUGAGGCGCGAAAGCGUGGGGAGCAAACAGG